rnacentral:rRNA from 1 species
UACGGAGGGUGCGAGCGUUAUCCGGAUUCACUGGGUUUAAAGGGUGCGUAGGUGGGCAGGUAAGUCAGUGGUGAAAUCUCCGGGCUUAACCCGGAAACUGCCAUUGAUACUAUCAGUCUUGAAUACCGUGGAGGUAAGCGGAAUAUGUCAUGUAGCGGUGAAAUGCUUAGAUAUGACAUAGAACACCAAUUGCGAAGGCAGCUUACUACCCGAAUAUUGACACUGAGGCACGAACGCGUGGGGAUCAAACAGG